GCUUUCAUCAAAGUGGCUGUGAACUAUGUUCAUACUCAUAUCACAGCCAGCUUUGAUGAGCGCUG
rnacentral:pre_miRNA from 13 species